UGGGGAAUUUUGGACAAUGGGCGAAAGCCUGAUCCAGCAAUGCCGCGUGUGUGAAGAAGGCCUUCGGGUUGUAAAGCACUUUUGUCCGGAAAGAAAUCCUUGGCUCUAAUACAGUCGGGGGAUGACGGUACCGGAAGAAUAAGCACCGGCUAACUACGUGCCAGCAGCCGCGGUAAUACGUAGGGUGCAAGCGUUAAUCGGAAUUACUGGGCGUAAAGCGUGCGCAGGCGGUUUGCUAAGACCGAUGUGAAAUCCCCGGGCUCAACCUGGGAACUGCAUUGGUGACUGGCAGGCUAGAGUAUGGCAGAGGGGGGUAGAAUUCCACGUGUAGCAGUGAAAUGCGUAGAGAUGUGGAGGAAUACCGAUGGCGAAGGCAGCCCCCUGGGCCAAUACUGACGCUCAUGCACGAAAGCGUGGGGAGCAAACAGGAUUAGAUACCCUGGUAGUCCACGCCCUAAAACGAUGUCAACUAGUUGUUGGGGAUUCAUUUCCUUAGUAACGUAGCUAACGCGUGAAGUUGA
rnacentral:rRNA from 1 species